CCUACGGGUGGCUGCAGUAGGGAAUUUUCGGCAAUGGGCGCAAGCCUGAACGAGCAAUGCCGCGUGAACGAGGAAGGUCUUCGGAUCGUAAAGUUCUGUUGAAGGGGAAAAAGAGCGGAGAGAGGAAAUGGUCUCCGAUUGAUAUUACCCUUCGAGGAAGUCACGGAUAACUACGUGCCAGCAGCCGCGGUAAUACGUAGGUGGCGAGCGUUAUCCGGAAUGAUUGGGCGUAAAGGGUGCGUAGGCGGACUGCUAAGCCUGGAGUGAAAGGUGCCGGCUCAACCGGGAUAGGCACUGGAUACUGGCGGGCUAGAGAGCAGGAGAGGGCGGUGGAACUCCAGGUGUAGCGGUAAAAUGCGUAGAUAUAUGGAAGAACACCAGUGGCGAAGGCGGCCGCCUGGCCUGUUACUGACGCUGAGGCACGAAAGCGUGGGGAGCAAAUAGGAUUAGAUACCCGAGUAGUC
rnacentral:rRNA from 1 species